GGAAAAGUCUCCGAAUUGGAUCGAGGUUUUGGCUACCCCACCAUUGUCAGGCAUCCCGAGCGCGUUCCCGAAGUCGGAAUCGGCAAAGGUGAGCCGGGACAGCCUUCUUCCUCCGCCCAGCCGCCACAGUGAUUGCCGUCAAGUCUGCCACAGGAGGAUAUUUUAUUCUGGGUUAACCUGCUUUUCUACUUCGCAGGUUGUUUAUCAAUAUUUGUGUAAUUUUAUUUACUCCUAGAAUUUCCGCAUGUGUUAGAAGUAUUUAUUGAUUAUGGUCUGUAAUAUUAUUAUCAUGUUGGACCUGUAAACGUAUAAUGAUAUGCAUGUUUGAUGGA